rnacentral:rRNA from 1 species
UUAAGUUAUUAAGGGCGCACGGUGGAUGCCUUGGCACUAGAAGCCGAUGAAGGACGUUACUAACGACGAUAUGCUUUGGGGAGCUGUAAGUAAGCUUUGAUCCAGAGAUUUCCGAAUGGGGAAACCCAGCAUGAGUUAUGUCAUGUUAUCGAUAUGUGAAUACAUAGCAUAUCAGAAGGCACACCCGGAGAACUGAAACAUCUUAGUACCCGGAGGAAGAGAAAGAAAAUUCGAUUCCCUUAGUAGCGGCGAGCGAAACGGGAAGAGCCCAAACCAACAAGCUUGCUUGUUGGGGUUGUAGGACACUCUAUACGGAGUUACAAAGGACGACAUUAGACGAAUCAUCUGGAAAGAUGAAUCAAAGAAGGUAAUAAUCCUGUAGUCGAAAAUGUUGUCUCUCUUGAGUGGAUCCUGAGUACGACGGAGCACGUGAAAUUCCGUCGGAAUCUGGGAGGACCAUCUCCUAAGGCUAAAUACUCUCUAGUGACCGAUAGUGAACCAGUACCGUGAGGGAAAGGUGAAAAGCACCCCGGAAGGGGAGUGAAAUAGAACCUGAAACCGUGUGCUUACAAGUAGUCAGAGCCCGUUAAUGGGUGAUGGCGUGCCUUUUGUAGAAUGAACCGGCGAGUUACGAUUUGAUGCAAGGUUAAGCAGUAAAUGUGGAGCCGUAGCGAAAGCGAGUCUGAAUAGGGCGUUUAGUAUUUGGUCGUAGACCCGAAACCAGGUGAUCUACCCUUGGUCAGGUUGAAGUUCAGGUAACACUGAAUGGAGGACCGAACCGACUUACGUUGAAAAGUGAGCGGAUGAACUGAGGGUAGCGGAGAAAUUCCAAUCGAACCUGGAGAUAGCUGGUUCUCUCCGAAAUAGCUUUAGGGCUAGCCUCAAGUGAUGAUUAUUGGAGGUAGAGCACUGUUUGGACGAGGGGCCCCUCUCGGGUUACCGAAUUCAGACAAACUCCGAAUGCCAAUUAAUUUAACUUGGGAGUCAGAACAUGGGUGAUAAGGUCCGUGUUCGAAAGGGAAACAGCCCAGACCACCAGCUAAGGUCCCAAAAUAUAUGUUAAGUGGAAAAGGAUGUGGCGUUGCCCAGACAACUAGGAUGUUGGCUUAGAAGCAGCCAUCAUUUAAAGAGUGCGUAAUAGCUCACUAGUCGAGUGACACUGCGCCGAAAAUGUACCGGGGCUAAACAUAUUACCGAAGCUGUGGAUUGUCCUUUGGACAAUGGUAGGAGAGCGUUCUAAGGGCGUUGAAGCAUGAUCGUAAGGACAUGUGGAGCGCUUAGAAGUGAGAAUGCCGGUGUGAGUAGCGAAAGACGGGUGAGAAUCCCGUCCACCGAUUGACUAAGGUUUCCAGAGGAAGGCUCGUCCGCUCUGGGUUAGUCGGGUCCUAAGCUGAGGCCGACAGGCGUAGGCGAUGGAUAACAGGUUGAUAUUCCUGUACCACCUAUAAUCGUUUUAAUCGAUGGGGGGACGCAGUAGGAUAGGCGAAGCGUGCGAUUGGAUUGCACGUCUAAGCAGUAAGGCUGAGUAUUAGGCAAAUCCGGUACUCGUUAAGGCUGAGCUGUGAUGGGGAGAAGACAUUGUGUCUUCGAGUCGUUGAUUUCACACUGCCGAGAAAAGCCUCUAGAUAGAAAAUAGGUGCCCGUACCGCAAACCGACCCAGGUAGUCAAGAUGAGAAUUCUAAGGUGAGCGAGCGAACUCUCGUUAAGGAACUCGGCAAAAUGACCCCGUAACUUCGGGAGAAGGGGUGCUCUUUAGGGUUAACGCCCAGAAGAGCCGCAGUGAAUAGGCCCAAGCGACUGUUUAUCAAAAACACAGGUCUCUGCUAAACCGUAAGGUGAUGUAUAGGGGCUGACGCCUGCCCGGUGCUGGAAGGUUAAGAGGAGUGGUUAGCUUCUGCGAAGCUACGAAUCGAAGCCCCAGUAAACGGCGGCCGUAACUAUAACGGUCCUUAGGUAGCGAAAUUCCUUGUCGGGUAAGUUCCGACCCGCACGAAAGGCGUAACGAUUUGGGCACUGUCUCAACGAGAGACUCGGUGAAAUCAUAGUACCUGUGAAGAUGCAGGUUACCCGCGACAGGACGGAAAGACCCCGUGGAGCUUUACUGUAGCCUGAUAUUGAAAUUCGGCACAGCUUGUACAGGAUAGGUAGGAGCCUUUGAAACGUGAGCGCUAGCUUACGUGGAGGCGCUGGUGGGAUACUACCCUAGCUGUGUUGGCUUUCUAACCCGCACCACUUAUCGUGGUGGGAGACAGUGUCAGGCGGGCAGUUUGACUGGGGCGGUCGCCUCCUAAAAGGUAACGGAGGCGCUCAAAGGUUCCCUCAGAAUGGUUGGAAAUCAUUCAUAGAGUGUAAAGGCAUAAGGGAGCUUGACUGCGAGACCUACAAGUCGAGCAGGGUCGAAAGACGGACUUAGUGAUCCGGUGGUUCCGCAUGGAAGGGCCAUCGCUCAACGGAUAAAAGCUACCCCGGGGAUAACAGGCUUAUCUCCCCCAAGAGUUCACAUCGACGGGGAGGUUUGGCACCUCGAUGUCGGCUCAUCGCAUCCUGGGGCUGUAGUCGGUCCCAAGGGUUGGGCUGUUCGCCCAUUAAAGCGGUACGCGAGCUGGGUUCAGAACGUCGUGAGACAGUUCGGUCCCUAUCCGUCGUGGGCGUAGGAAAUUUGAGAGGAGCUGUCCUUAGUACGAGAGGACCGGGAUGGACAUACCUCUGGUGUACCAGUUGUCGUGCCAACGGCAUAGCUGGGUAGCUAUGUGUGGACGGGAUAAGUGCUGAAAGCAUCUAAGCAUGAAGCCCCCCUCAAGAUGAGAUUUCCCAACUUCGGUUAUAAGAUCCCUCAAAGAUGAUGAGGUUAAUAGGUUCGAGGUGGAAGCAUGGUGACAUGUGGAGCUGACGAAUACUAAUCGAUCGAAGACUUAAUCAA